rnacentral:rRNA from 1 species
CAGGCCUUGACAUGCCCUCUAUAGAAUGCAGAGACGUAUUCUUUCACUUCGGGUGGGAGGAGCACAGGUGCUGCAUGGCUGUCGUCAGCUCGUGUCGUGAGAUGUUGGGUUAAGUCCCGCAACGAGCGCAACCCUCAUUCUCUGUUGCUACCAGGUUAAGCUGAGCACUCUGAGAAAACUGCCGGUGAUAAGCCGGAGGAAGGUGGGGAUGACGUCAAGUCCUCAUGGCCCUUACGGCCUGGGCUACACACGUGUUACAAUGGUGGUGACAAAGAGCAGCUAACCCGCGAGGGCAUGCUAAUCUCUAAAAGCCACCUCAGUUCAGAUUGUACUCUGCAACUCGAGUACAUGAAGCUGGAAUCGCUAGUAAUCGCGGAUCAGAACGCCGCGGUGAAUA